rnacentral:rRNA from 1 species
GACGAACGCUGGCGGCGUGCUUAACACAUGCAAGUCGAACGGAAAGGCCCUGCUUUUGUGGGGUGCUCGAGUGGCGAACGGGUGAGUAACACGUGAGUAACCUGCCCUUGACUUUGGGAUAACUUCAGGAAACUGGGGCUAAUACCGGAUAGGAGCUCCUGCUGCAUGGUGGGGGUUGGAAAGUUUCGGCGGUUGGGGAUGGACUCGCGGCUUAUCAGCUUGUUGGUGGGGUAGUGGCUUACCAAGGCUUUGACGGGUAGCCGGCCUGAGAGGGUGACCGGCCACAUUGGGACUGGGAUACGGCCCAGACUCCUACGGGAGGCAGCAGUGGGGAAUAUUGCACAAUGGGCGGAAGCCUGAUGCAGCAACGCCGCGUGCGAUGACGGCCUUCGGGUUGUAAACCGCUUUCGCCUGUGACGAAGCGUGAGUGACGGUAAUGGGUAAAGAAGCACCGGCUAACUACGUG